rnacentral:tRNA from 1 species
GCCGACAUAGUAUAGUGGCAAUACGUAUCCAUGGUAAGGAUAAAUCCCGUGUUCAAUUCACGGUGUCGGCACCA